CCUACGGGUGGCAGCAGUGGGGAAUAUUGGACAAUGGGGGGAACCCUGAUCCAGCCAUGCCGCGUGUGUGAAGAAGGCCCUCGGGUUGUAAAGCACUUUCAGUGAGGAAGAACGCCUGGUGGUUAAUACCCAUCAGGAAAGACAUCACUCACAGAAGAAGCACCGGCUAACUCUGUGCCAGCAGCCGCGGUAAUACGGAGGGUGCGAGCGUUAAUCGGAAUUACUGGGCGUAAAGCGCGCGUAGGUGGCUUGAUAAGCCGGUUGUGAAAGCCCCGGGCUCAACCUGGGAACGGCAUCCGGAACUGUCAAGCUAGAGUGCAGGAGAGGAAGGUAGAAUUCCCGGUGUAGCGGUGAAAUGCGUAGAGAUCGGGAGGAAUACCAGUGGCGAAGGCGGCCUUCUGGACUGACACUGACACUGAGGUGCGAAAGCGUGGGUAGCAAACAGGAUUAGAUACCCGUGUAGUC
rnacentral:rRNA from 1 species